UGCAUGCACCAUACGAAUGGAUCCAUCUACUGCAUAAACGAGAGACGAAUGCCAUGGCGUCAUAAUUAUUCCGUCAUUUUGUGGAGUGAUCGCUAUGGAUACUUUUGUUGACUCUGUGGAGGGAUGAAUCGAUAAUCUAAUUGAUUUAUCAAACCUUCUCGCUAUAGCAAUUGCGAAAGCUCGCCCACGGGCGAUCAUGUUUCUUGCGGUUGCCUCGUGGCCUUUUUUAAUCUGCCGUUUUGAGACAGACGAAUCGCCAGAGCUGGCAUCGUUAUCGAGAUCCUUUUCGAGAAAUUUUAUGUAGCCGCG
rnacentral:sRNA from 1 species